GGAUGUGGCAAAAUUGGUAGAUGCACCAGGUUUAGAUUCUGGCGCUGUAAGGUAGGUGAGUUUAGGUCUCUUUAUCCGCACCA
rnacentral:tRNA from 1 species